rnacentral:tRNA from 1 species
CGGGCGGUAGCUCAGCCUGGCAGAGCUUCCGGCUGUAGACCGGAGUGUCGCAGGUCCAAAUCCUGCCCGCCCGA